UGGCGGACGGGUGAGUAACACGUGGGAACGUGCCUUUAGGUUCGGAAUAACUCAGGGAAACUUGUGCUAAUACCGAAUGUGCCCUUCGGGGGAAAGAUUUAUCGCCUUUAGAGCGGCCCGCGUCUGAUUAGCUAGUUGGUGAGGUAAAGGCUCACCAAGGCGACGAUCAGUAGCUGGUCUGAGAGGAUGAUCAGCCACAUUGGGACUGAGACACGGCCCAAACUCCUACGGGAGGCAGCAGUGGGGAAUCUUGCGCAAUGGGCGAAAGCCUGACGCAGCCAUGCCGCGUGAAUGAUGAAGGUCUUAGGAUUGUAAAAUUCUUUCACCGGGGACGAUAAUGACGGUACCCGGAGAAGAAGCCCCGGCUAACUUCGUGCCAGCAGCCGCGGUAAUACGAAGGGGGCUAGCGUUGCUCGGAAUUACUGGGCGUAAAGGGAGCGUAGGCGGACAUUUAAGUCAGGGGUGAAAUCCCGGGGCUCAACCUCGGAAUUGCCUUUGAUACUGGGUGUCUUGAGUGUGAGAGAGGUAUGUGGAACUCCGAGUGU
rnacentral:rRNA from 1 species